rnacentral:ncRNA from 1 species
AUCCAGUUUGAUUCUGGCUUAAAAAUUAGCUUUUUCUGAAAAAAACACAUGCAAAUCUCCUAACCCCGUGAAAUACCAUUUUUAAUUCAAAAAUUUAAAAUUUCUCAACUUAAAUCAUGGUAAAGGAUCAAUUCCUCAAUAAUAAUUCCCUAAAGCAACCUCACGCCUGCAGUGAACAAUUCUAUAAUGUCUAGAAAUAGAGCUAUGGUCACAGAAACCUAGAGUUGGUGAAACCCGUGCCAGCUACCGCGGUUAAACGACAGACUCGAGCUAAUUACAUCGGAAACUAUGAAUGUUAGAUAAAAACAAAUUCGAAAGAAGUCUAAUUCUACCAAUUUUCUCACAACCAACUAUAUCUUCUCUAUUACUCAUGAAAGCCUAAAUAAAAACAAGGAUUAGAUACCCUUUUAUUCUAGGCCUAAAAUUAUCCAGGGUACUACAAACACAGGUUUAAAACCCAAAGAACUUGGCGGUACCUAAACCCAAUCAGGGGAACCUGUCCUUUAAAUCGACAAUCCACGUAAAUUUUACCUCCUCUAGAACAUUCAGCCUGUAUACUGCCGUCGCCAGCCCACCAUAAAAAUGUUAGUAAGCUAAAAGAUUCUAUAUCCCUACGUCAGGUCAAAGUGCAGCCUAUGAGAAGGAAGAGAUGGGUUACAAUUUGUAUUAUAAACAUGAAUUACUAAUGAAAAUAAAUAUAAAAGUGGACUUGAAAGUAAUUAAAAAUAACUUACUUUAAUGAAUAUGGCAACCUAAGGUGUGCACACAUCGCCCGUCACUCUCGCCGAAAGGGGAGAUAAGUCGUAACAUAGCAGGUGUAAUGGAAAUUGUACCUUACAAAAU